UGAUAACCUGCAGAACUGCAGAUCUUCAGGAACAGGGCCCAUAUCUUUCACUGGAGGAACAAAACUAAAUUGAUGAAAAUAAUGUCCCUGCUGGAUGCUGAAGAACUGGUUCAUGCCUUCGUGACCUCAAGGCUGGAUUAUUGUAAUACUCGAUUGUCUGGUUGCAAAAAUCCUCCAAAUUGCACAGAAUGUGGCCACUAGGUUACUUAAGAAAUUUGCACACAUCAGUUCGGUGCUCAAAUCUCUUCAGUGGUUGCCUGUUAAAUUUAUAAUUGGCUAUAAGAUUCUAAGGCCUUAAAUGGUUUGGCUCCAGAAUAUCUUACAAUGGGAGGCUUAGCCUUCUCUUACAGAACUUGUUUUAUGGAAUAAUCCCCCUUUGCAUGUUUGGGCUACAGUUGAUCUCCUAAAUACAUAGUGCCUUCUCUUCUGUUUUACUCCCUGGGGCUUCUGGGGCUUGUCCCUUCUGCCUUGUGCAGAGUGCACCAGCUUCGUCCUUCUCCUUGUUCAAACCCAACACCACCUGGAGGCCCAGAUGCAUCACCCCAUCCCUCUGAACUGUACUAUACACCUCUGCUUGGACUUACUGUUUUACCAGUUGGUUAAACUGCCUCUCACUGUAACCUGCCCAACCAAAUAUAUUGCUUGCUCUGAUAGAUCCGUCAUUUCUGUUAACAUUCUUUAUAUCGUAACUAUUGCACAGGGCUGGCCAGUAGAGGAUGGGCUUCCCCUCUUCAUCCUGAAAUUUAUUUCCAUUAGGGGGUUUUUUCACCACCAUUUGAGUGUUAUUCUGCCUUAAUAGAGAGUUUAAAAAAAAAAAAAACCAAUUGCUUGCUUUUUAGGGGUUCAGGUCAGGCUUUUUGUCCAAUUUUCAUUAGUAUUUUCACUGUAAAGUAUAUCUGUGAUAGUCCCGCAGUAAAAAGUGCUAUACAAAUAAAAUUAAAUCCUUGGCAUUA